rnacentral:rRNA from 1 species
GCCUACGGGGCGCAGCAGUAGGGAAUCUUCCACAAUGGGCGAAAGCCUGAUGGAGCAACGCCGCGCGGGUGAAGAAGGUCUUCGGAUCGUAAAACCCUGUUGUUAGAGAAGAAAGUGCGUGAGAGUAACUGUUCACGUUUCGACGGUAUCUAACCAGAAAGCCACGGCUAACUACGUGCCAGUAGCCGCGGUAAUACGUAGGUGGCAAGCGUUAUCCGGAUUUAUUGGGCGUAAAGGGAACGCAGGCGGUCUUUUAAGUCUGAUGUGAAAGCCUUCGGCUUAACCGGAGUAGUGCAUUGGAAACU